rnacentral:rRNA from 1 species
GGAGGUUGGCUUAGAAGCAGCCAUUCCUUUAAAGAGUGCGUAAUAGCUCACUAGUCAAGCGACUCGGCGUCGAUAAUAAUCGGGCAUAAGUCGGAUACCGAAGCUGUGGGAUUUAACGAUCGGUAGGGGAGCAUUCCAGUCAGCGCAGAAGCAGCGCCCGCGAGGGGCCGUGGAGCGGCUGGAAGCGAAAAUGUAGGCAUGAGUAACGAUAAGAAGGGUGAAAAACCCUUCCACCGUAAACCCAAGGGUUCCUGAUCAACGCUAAUCGGAUCAGGGUUAGUCGAGACCUAAGGUGUACCCGGUCAGGCCGGGGAAGCCGAUGGCAAAGCGGUUAAAUAUUCCGCUACCGAAGCCAACGUAUGGCUAAGGCGUGACGCAGAAGUGACACUCCCGCGUGCUGACGAAUGCACGUUAAAGGGCGUAGGCCGGGGGGCAGGCAAAUCCGCCUCCCGUUAAGGCUGAACCCCGACAGUACUCGGAUUCUCACGAUGAAGAGAUAGUGGAGGUAAUCAUGCUGCCAAGAAAAGCGUCGUAGUUUGUCCAACGAGCUCGUACCCCAAACCGACACAGGUGGGUGAGGAGAGUAUCCUCAGGUGCUCGAGUAAUUCAUGGCUAAGGAACUAGGCAA